rnacentral:sRNA from 12 species
GUCAACUACCCCCGCCUGAAGGCGGGAGCUUGUGACAACAAGCCCGGUUGACCAGGGAGAGCGGUAGCCAACCCGCCUACGUUGAUAACAGGUCGCCAAGACUCACCCACGGAUGCUUCCUCAGUCCGUGGCUCUGAA